UGGGGAAUAUUGGACAAUGGGCGCAAGCCUGAUCCAGCCAUGCCGCGUGAGUGAUGAAGGCUCUAGGGUGGUAAAGCUCUUUCACCGGUGAAGUUAAUGACGGUAACCGGAGAAGAAGCUCCGGCUAACUUCGUGCCAGCAGCCGCGGUAAUACGAAGGGGUCUAGCGUUGUUCGGAUUUACUGGGCGUAAAGCGCACGUAGGCGGACUUUUAAGUCAGGGGUGAAAUCCCGGGGCUCAACCCCGGAACUGCCUUUGAUACUGGAAGUCUUGAGUAUGGUAGAGGUGAGUGGAAUUCCGAGUGUAGAGGUGAAAUUCGUAGAUAUUCGGAGGAACACCAGUGGCGAAGGCGGCUCACUGGACCAUUAAUGACGCUGAGGUGCGAAAGCGUGGGGAGCAAACAGG
rnacentral:rRNA from 1 species